rnacentral:lncRNA from 13 species
AUGGAGGACUGCAGUCCUCGAAACCAAGUCAGUGGAGAGCUAAGGAUGCUCGGAUGCAGUUUCCUUUUUCAAAUGCUCUCCCUCCCCUUGCCCCACAAAAGGUCCCAGUGUGCACUGUUCUCCUCCCUAUGUCGAUGUGUUCUCAUUGUUCAGCUCCUACUUAUAAGUGAGAACAUGCAGUGUUUGGUUUUCUGUUCCUGCAAUAGUUUGCUGAGGAUAAUGGCUUCCAGCUCCAUCCAUGUCCCUGCAAAGGACAUGAUCUCAUUCUUUUUUAUGGCUGCAUAAUAUUGUAUGAUGUAUAUGUACCACAUUUUCUUUAUCUGGUCUAUCAUUGUUGGGCAUUUGGGUUGAUUCCAAGUCUUUGCUAUUGUGAAUAGUGCUGCAAAGAACAUAUGUGCAUGUAUCUUUAUAAUGAAUGAUUUAUAUUCCUUUGGGUACAUACUCCAUAAUGAGGUUGCUGGGUCAAGUUUUAUUUCUGGUUCUAGGUCUUUGAGGAAUUGCCAUACUGUCUUCUACAAUCAUUGAACUAAUUUACAUUCCCACCAACAGUAUAAAAGCAUUCCUCUCUCUCCACAGCCUAGCCAGCAUCUGCUGUUUUUUGACUUUUGCAUAAUAGCAAUUCUGCUCACUGUGGUUCUGAUUUGCAUUUCUCUAAUGCGUGAUGUUGAACUUUUGUUCAUGUUUGUUGGCUGCAUAAAUAUCUUCUUUUGAGAAGUGUCUGUUCAUGUCCUUUACUCACUUUUUAAUGGAGCUGUUUUUUUUUUCUUGUAAAUUUAUUUAAGUUUCUUGUAAAUUCUGGAUAUCAGAACUUUGCCAGAUGCUAGAUUGCAAAAAUCAAGAAAAUGAUUUUUAUUAGUCACAGGCAACAAUAGAAGGAACAAGAUACUUAUUUUUAAAAAACAUUUUAAUUUAGAAAUAAUUUCUAAUUUACAGAAAAGUUGCAGGAAUAGUACAAAGACCCCAUUCAAAUUUCUCCAGUUUUCACUGUAAUAAACCUGACAGGAAAAGGCCCUAAUCGAGGGUC